GAUGAACGCUGGCGGCGUGCCUAAUACAUGCAAGUCGAGCGGCAGCACGGUCUUCGGACUGGUGGCGAGCGGCGGACGGCUGAGUAACGCGUAGGAACAUGCCCUAAAGUGAGGAAUAACUGCCCGAAAGGGUGGCUAAUGCCGCAUGUGCUCUUCGGAGUAAAGCUUUAUGCGCUUUAGGAGUGGCCUGCGUCCGAUUAGCUAGUUGGUGAGGUAAAUGCUCACCAAGGCGACGAUCGGUAGCUGGUCUGAGAGGAUGAUCAGCCAGACUGGAACUGAGAACGGUCCAGACUCCUACGGGAGGCAGCAGUAGGGAAUUUUGGACAAUGGGCGCAAGCCUGAUCCAGCAAUGCCGCGUGCAGGAAGAAGGCCUUCGGGUUGUAAACUGCUUUUGUACGGAACGAAAAAGUCUGGGUUAAUACCCUGGGCUGAUGACGGUACCGUAAGAAUAAGCACCGAC
rnacentral:rRNA from 1 species